rnacentral:rRNA from 1 species
AGCAUAUCAAUAAGCGGAAGGAAAAGAAACCAACAGGGAUUGCCCUAGUAACGGCGCAGUGAAGCGGCAACAGCUCAAAUUUGAAAUCUGGCUUAGGCCCGAGUUGUAAUUUGCAGAGGAUGUUUCUGGCGCGGUGCCAUCCGAGUUCCCUGGAACGGGACGCCAUAGAGGGUGAGAGCCCCGUAUGGAUGGCCACCAAGCCUGUGUGAAACUCCUUCAACGAGUCGAGUAGUUUGGGAAUGCUGCUCAAAAUGGGAGGUAAAUCUCUUCUAAAGCUAAAUACUGGCCAGAGACCGAUAGCGCACAAGUAGAGUGAUCGAAAGAUGAAAAGCACCUUGAAAAGGGGGUUAAACAGUACGUGAAAUUGUUGAAAGGGAAGCGCUCAUGACCAGACUUGUGCCGGGCAGCUCAUCCGGGGUUCUCCCCGGUGCACUCUGCCCGGUUCAGGCCAGCAUCGGUUUUUGCUGGGGGAUAAGAACGGUAGGAACGUGGCCCUCUCUCGGGAGGGUGUUAUAGCCUACCGUACGAUACCCUAGCGGAGACCGAGGUUCGCGCUCCGCAAGGAUGCUGGCGUAAUGGUCAUCAGCGACCCGUCUUGAAACACGGACCAAGGAGUCGUCCAUUAGAGCGAGCGUUUGGGUGUCAAACCCGCACGCGUAAUGAAAGUGAAAUUAGGUGAGAGCUUCGGCGCAUCAUCGACCGAUCCUGAUGUUCUCGGAUGGAUUUGAGUAAGAGUUUUAACGGACGGACCCGAAAGACAGUGAACUAUGCUUGUAUAGGGUGAAGCCAGAGGAAACUCUGGUGGAGGCUCGCAGCGGUUCUGACGUGCAAAUCGAUCGUCAAAUAUGAGCAUGGGGGCGAAAGACUAAUCGAACUGUCUAGUAGCUGGUUACCGCCGAAGU